UACGUAGGGUGCAAGCGUUAAUCGGAAUUACUGGGCGUAAAGCGUGCGCAGGCGGUUGGGGAAGACAGAUGUGAAAUCCCCGAGCUCAACCUGGGAACUGCAAUUGUGACUGCACGGCUGGAGUGCGGCAGAGGGGGAUGGAAUUCUGCGUGUAGCAGUGAAAUGCGUAGAUAUGCGGAGGAACACCGAUGGCGAAGGCAAUCCCCUGGGCCUGCACUGACGCUCAUGCACGAAAGCGUGGGGAGCAAACAGG
rnacentral:rRNA from 1 species